rnacentral:snRNA from 1 species
GGAUGUGAGGGCGAUCUGGCUGCGACAUCUGUCACCCCAUUGAUCGCCAGGGUUGAUUCGGCUGAUCUGGCUGGCUAGGUGGGUGUCCCCUUCCUCCCUCACUGCUCCAUGUGCGUCCCUCCCGAAGCUGCGUGCUCGGUCUAAGGGGACGACCAUCCCCGAUAGAGGAGGACCGUUCUUCCGUCAAGGGUAUACGAGUAGCUGCACUCCCCUGCUAGAACCUCCAAACAAGCUCUCUCAAAGAAAGCUACACAGGGAGUUUCAUUAUGAUAUUUUCAUGUUUAUAUGUAUUAUAA